rnacentral:rRNA from 1 species
CCUACGUGAGGCAGCAGUGAGGAAUAUUGGUCAAUGGGCGGAAGCCUGAACCAGCCAAGUAGCGUGCAGGAUGACGGCCCUACGGGUUGUAAACUGCUUUUAUACGGGAAUAACGCGCCUUACGUGUAGGGCUUUGCAUGUACCGUAUGAAUAAGGACCGGAUAAUUCCGUGCCAGCAGCCGCGGUAAUACGGAAGGUCCGGGCGUUAUCCGGAUUUAUUGGGUUUAAAGGGAACGUCGGCCGCAUGUCAAGCGUGCUGUGAAAUGUCCGGGCUCAACCCGGGCCUUGCAGCGCGAAAUAGCGUGCUUGAGUCCGCGGAAAGCAGGCGGAAUUCGUCGUGUAGCGGUGAAAUGCUUAGACAUGACGAAGAACCCCGAUUGCGAAGGCAGCUUGCUGCAGCGGAACUGAGGCGGAUGCUCGAAAGCGCGGGUAUCGAACAGGAUUAGAUACCCCAGUAGUC